rnacentral:misc_RNA from 1 species
AAAGUCGUAACAAGGUCUCCGUUGGUGAACCAGCGGAGGGAUCAUUACUGAGUAUUCAACUCAUAACCUUUGUGAAUUUAUUUGUUGCUUUAGCAGGGAGCUAGACUAGUAUAUCUAGUCUACUAAUUUUUAAGGCUAUACAUUUGCAUUAUGCCCUGCUAAAGUAUUUUUUAUAUACAAUAUGUUUAUAGUGUUCUGAGUUCAUUUUAAAGUUUAUAUAAACUUUCAACAACGGAUCUCUUGGUUCUG